UACGAAGGGGGCGAGCGUUGUUCGGAUUUACUGGGCGUAAAGGGCGCGCAGGCGGCCAUUUUUGUCAGGCGUGAAAGCCCCGGGCUUAACCUGGGAACCGCGCUUGAGACGGGAUGGCUAGAGAUCGGGAGAGGAGAGUGGAAUUCCCAGUGUAGAGGUGAAAUUCGUAGAUAUUGGGAAGAACACCGGUGGCGAAGGCGGGUCUCUGGGCCGAUAUUGACGCUGAGGAGCGAAAGCGUGGGGAGCGAACAGG
rnacentral:rRNA from 1 species